AGUUACAGAGAGGUCUAUUGCUGCAAUGGAUGGAAAGGAUAUACUUGCGACGUUCCUAUUUGUUAUCCUGGCUGUCAAAAUAGUGAGAUCUGCCUUGGACCUAAUAAAUGUGGCUGUUCAAACAGAACUGUAGAAGGAGUCUGUUCUGGUCAUGAGUGUUUUCCUCUUUGUCAACACGGCGGGGAUUGUUUCGGACCAAAUAAAUGUUCUUGUCGAGCAGGUUAUGCAGGGGAUUUCUGUGAGGUUAAUCCAUCUGAUAUUAUAUUUGUGGUAGACGAAUCAGGUAGUGUUGGAGAUGACAAUUUUCGUGUAACCAUGGAGUAUCUUGCCAAUGC